GAGAUCAAAGGCAUUAAUUGCCAAUAUUCUUUAAGAUUUGCAAAAUCUCUAUAAGAUCAUCUAAAUCUUGCAAAUCCAUUCAUAUCUCUCAAGCAACUCUCUCUCUCCUUCAUCCUCACCAAUCGGCCACCUCUCUCUCUCCUUUCUCUCUCAUAAUUCCUCCAUUGUCAACCAUUGGAGAGACCUCCGAAGCUUCACCAAAAUAUGCCAAACACAUAAAUCACCAACAAAAUUCCACCUAAACACCUCCUAUCAACUUGAAUCCAAGGAAAUCCUUGAAGAUUGGCUUCAAGACUAGUGAGAGAAAGUUUGAUUGUUGGUGAAAAACUUGAACACGAGCAGAGCAGGGAAGUAAGUAACUCCGCUUUGACGGGAGUUUUUGAGUAAGGUCUUCAGGCUAAGCGAGGAGCGAGAUUGGUCUGGUGCUGGCGGGGAAUUGUUAGAGGAUGUAUUUACUUUAUCGUAUUUCUAUUUUGACGAUAAAGUCUUGAUGAUUAAUAUACUUUGAUUUUCUUUUGAAUUUAAGCAAUGUACUCACGGUUAUAUGUCUUCAUACAUAUAAUCGGUUCACCUUUUGCUGCGAUACUCUGCAUAUUGUGAUUCCUUACGAAAAAUGAGCGAUACCCGUUUUGUUUUUGAUUUUGAAAUUCCUGAUAAUUAAAAAGUUAUA